AUUGAACGCUGGCGGAAUGCUUUACACAUGCAAGUCGAGCGGCAGCGCGGGGCAACCUGGCGGCGAGCGGCGAACGGGUGAGUAAUACAUCGGAACGUGCCCAGACGUGGGGGAUAACUACUCGAAAGAGUGGCUAAUACCGCAUACGAUCUACGGAUGAAAGCGGGGGAUCGCAAGACCUCGCGCGUCUGGAGCGGCUGAUGGCAGAUUAGGUAGUUGGUGGGGUAACGGCUCACCAAGGCGAUGAUCAGUAGCCGGUCUGAGAGGAUGGCUGGCCACACUGGGAUUGAGAUACGGCCCAGACUCCUACGGGAGGCAGCAGUCUAGAAGCUUCGGCAAUGGGCGAAAGCCUGACCGAGCGACGCCGCGUGCAGGACGAAGGUCUUCGGAUUGUAAACUGCUUUCGACGGGGAUGAAAGGUAGGAGGGCGAAUACCCCCUUAUUUGACAGUACCCGCAGAAGAAGCCCUGGCCUAACUCCGUGCCAGCACG
rnacentral:rRNA from 1 species